rfam:Bombyx mori DNA, contig: Bm_scaf187_contig41260, strain: p50T/Dazao, build 2, whole genome shotgun sequence.
UUAACUGAAAAUUGUGUGGAGUUGAAACGUUUUCCUACAUCUGCCGCUAGGGGCGCUGUUCCAACUGCCUACAAAUUUGAGUUA